rnacentral:misc_RNA from 1 species
AUGAGACACAAAGAGCAAGGUCUUCAAAGACGCCUUUUGAGGGUGAUGAGAAUACUAGAGGCACUUGAAGGUAAAGGUUGUCGAUUGCCUUUGAUGAAAGGAGAAGCUGAAUUGGCAGAGAAGUUGGCAGCCAUCACGAGACAGUUAAAAGGUUCUGGAGCAGAACUUUCUAGGAGGGUUCAGAAUCUGCUCACCAUAUGUCGUGUUCAAAAUGGCCUAGGAAGUGGUUCUGUUUAUCUCCCUGGCUCAACUAAGAUCCAUG